GGACCCUGAGAUCAUGACCUGAACUGAAGGCAGACACUUAACCUACUGAGCCACCCAGGAGACCCUUAAGGUUUUAAUAUACAUUGUCAAAUUACCACUAUAGAAUCUAAUGUUUGCCAUGUGCUGUGCAAAUGUGUUAUCGCAUUUAGUCUUCACAAUUUACUCAUUGAUUCUGCAUAUAUUCAUUGAAUGCUACUUAAAAAAAAAAAAAAAAAAGCAUGGAGCCCAAAGUGGGGCUUGAACUCAUGACCCUGAGACCAAGACCUGAGAUUAAAAGCCAAAUGCCUAACUGGCUGAGCCAGCCAGGCAGCCUUCAUUGAAUGCUACUUUGUGUCAGGUACUUUAGGGACUCAUGAUUGAGCAAGACCCUGCAAUCUUUUGAGGUAGAAACUAUUAUUAUUACCAUUGUAGAGCUGAGGAAUUUGAGAUCCAUGUGAUGACUUGCCUAAGAAGACACAGCAAGUAGCGUAUUCUGGGGCUGGCUGUUUCAGUCAUUUGCACAAAGAAAAUUACUGCCUGCUCCAGGAAGCCUCAUGCUGCAUUGUUCCAUAGCGAAGGGAAUAGUUUAAUUUUGGGUGGCAACUCUUUUCCCUCUUUUUUUUUUUUUUUUUCCAUCACGAUCCUGGAAAAGUCAAAUGAGGAAACAUCCUGGCAUACAGCAUUUGGAAAUAAAGCUCAUGUGUAAAGCUGCCAGGAAUAAAAACUAACAAAACUUUCUCAACUAAGUUUGAUUUCCCACUCUUAAGAAAUUAGGCGGAAUUGGCCCCAUCUGAUUCCAAAGUUAGGCUUGUUAGAAAAACCUCUUACAAAAAGCAUGGUAGAUGUGCAUGGACAUUUAGCAAUCCAGUCAGAUCUUGUUUUUUACUUUCCUAAAUUAACUAAUUACAACCGUGGGCUGGGUCUCUCAUAGGGUUAAGUGCAAAAGCUUGUGAGCCAAACAGAUUUGACAAAGCAGGAGGUUCUAUUUAUUUAUUUUUAUUUUAAAAAAUAUUUAUUUAUUUAUUCAUGAGAGACCCAGAGAGAGAGAGGGGCAGAGACACAGGCAGAGGUUGAAGCAGGCUCCAUGCAGGGAGCCUGACAUGGGACCCGAUCCUGGGACUCCAGGAUCACAGCCUGGGCCGAAGGCGGCACUAAACCGCUGAGCCACCCAGGGAUCCCCAGCAGGGGGUUUUACAAUAAAUUAUUAUAACCCUGGAAGCUUCAUUUCUUAAUUUAAAAAUGGGCCUGAGAAUACUCUCUUGGUAAGUCCCUAUAUAAGAUCUAAAUGAUUCAGGGGUAGUGGUCACCAUCUAUCCCCCUUUUAAUCCACUAAUCUACCCCACGCAAAAACCAAACAGUAACCCAAAGUGUAGUUGCUGUGUUGGGUGAGGCAGCUUUGCUAGACAGAGUAAUAUCGCUUUAAGUUCAUGGUAUCCAACUGUUGAUCUAGCUUAUACAUACAUUUCCAUUUCUAACGUGAAAAAGGCCAGAAACAGUUCACUCUUAUGUAGGGCAGACUACGAUACACAUUUAUGAUCUGCCUGAGGGCUGUGUUCUCUCUCGUGCUCUCUGUCAUAAUAAAGGCUGAAGGGACUGGACCAUCGGACAUCCUGCAAAACAUCACAUUGGUUCACUCUAUUAGUGAAACAGUGUUUAUAGGACUGGAAGAAUAUGCAUGUCUCUGGAGAGUAGGAGAUAAACUCUACAUGAAUUCAAGGAAUCUAGAGGAUAGGCAAUUCACCCUAUUAAGUUUUAGGGGCUCACCACAUCAGUGUAGUUUUUGGAGAGCGGUCUGGGGCAUGCUGGGACAGCCCCUUCAAAGUACAGAACAUGUGAUUGCAUCUUGUUACCUCCCACCAUUCAGAAGGAAGCAUAAUACCGGGUAGGCUUCUGCAGGCUGGAGUCAGUGUAUUUUAUACUUGAGAAUAGGAAUCCAAUCUAUUUUUUGAAUGACAUGGAAGACUGUCAUCUUUUGAGCAGGUCUGGCCCAGAAAAUAGUUUUGCAAUAGAUCCAGGCUGGACUGCAGGCUUUUCUGUCUCCAGGGUUAUAUGGCCCAGAAGACCUUACGGUAUUCGAUGUAUCUGUGGUGGGAAAAGGUACCAUGUGUUUACAGCAAGCCCAGUGAAAUAAACACAAUCUAGACCCAUAGCAUUCUGGAGCAAAGCCAUUCAAUCUGCAACAGAGAAUUAUUGCCAUUUGAGAAACACCUCCUGGGGUGGGCACUGGUAGAGAUGAAGCACCUGACCAUGGAGCAUUGAGGGAUCUUAUAGCUGGAACAACUAUAAGGCUGCAUGGGGCUCCCUAUGACCACCUGAUAAGGAGGGAGAACAUGAAGGGAACAUGAAGGGAACAACAUGAAGGCUGCAUGGGGCUCCCUAUGACCACCUGAUAAGGAGGGAGAAGGCUAAGCCUGAUUCACAGAUAGAUCUAUUUGGUAGGUGGGCAUAAGCUGAAAGUGGAGGACAGCUACAUUUCAGUGUCACCCGGAGGUGACCUUUAAAGACAAUAAAUGAGGUGGAAUCUUACCAAUGGGUAGGGCUUUGGGCACCCACUCUGUGGACAGGAGAAGUAGCCUGAGGUAAGAAUAAAUACAGACUAUGGGCAGUGGCAAAAACAGGAAGGAUAAAUAUUGAAAGACUGGGGACAAGGCGGUCUGGGAAAGAAGGUUAUGUGUGGACUCAUGGGAAUGGGCACAAAGUGUGAAGAUCUUGCAUCAUAUGUUGACAUCCAACAGAGAGCAUCCAUCAUGAAAGAGGUGCUAAAUAACCAAGCAGGCAGAGUGACUCAGCCAGGUCAGCAGUCUGCCACCCCAGUUUUGGCUUAAAAGACUCAUAAUGAAGAAUCUAUGUAGCAGGAAUAAAGGUCCUGCAUUCACUAAGAAUGAUCUACGUAUUACUGCUGCUGGAUGUCCACUUUUCCAGCAACAAAGAUCAACAUGGAGCCAUCAGUUUGGCACUAUCCUUCAGAGAGCCCCACCAGCCACUUAUGGCAAGUUAAUUAAGUUAGACCUCUUCGACCUGGAAGAAGAAGCAAUUCAUCUUGACUGGGACAACUCUUCCUAGUAUGAGUUUACCUUUCCUGGGUACUGGGUCUCAGCCAAUCUGAAGACUUGCAGAGGGGAACCUGGGUUCCUCAGUUAAGUGUCUACCUUCAGCUCGGGUCAUGAUCUUGGGGUCCUGGGAUCGAGCCCCGCAUUGGACUCCCCACUCAGCGAGGAUUAAGCUUCUCCCUUUCCUGCUCCCAUUCCUGCUCCCCCUUCUUGUGUUCAAUCUCUCUCUCUCUCUGUGUGAAAUAAAAUCUUAAAAAAAAAAAAAAA
rnacentral:lncRNA from 1 species